GACGGAUGCCACCAGCGAUCCGCCUGAGUUCCUUAAAUGACUCGGCGGGCAGCUUCCGGGAAACCAAAGUUUUUCGGUUCCGGGGGAAGUAUGGUUGCAAAGCUGAAACUUAAAGGAAUUGACGGAAGGGCACCACCAGGAGUGGAGCCUGCGGCUUAAUUUGACUCAACACGGGAAAACUUACCCGGCCCGGACACUGGCAGGAUUGACAGAUUGAGAGCUCUUUCUUGAUUCAGUGGGUGGUGGUGCAUGGCCGUUCUUAGUUGGUGGAGCGAUUUGUCUGGUUAAUUCCGAUAACGAACGAGACUCUAGCCUACUAAAUAGGCCACCGGCUUACUGACGUCGGUGGGACUUCUUAGAGGGACAGGCGGCGAUUCAGCCGCACGAAACAGAGCAAUAACAGGUCUGUGAUGCCCUUAGAUGUCCGGGGCCGCACGCGCGCUACACUGAAGUGAUCAGCGUGCAUUACAAACCUGCUCCGUCAGGAGUGGGGAACCCAAUGAACCUUCUUCGUGAUUGGGAUAGGGGAUUGUAAUUAUUCCCCUUGAACGAGGAAUUCCCAGUAAGCGCGAGUCAUAAGCUCGCGUUGAUUACGUCCCUGCCCUUUGUACACACCGCCCGUCGCUACUACCGAUUGAAUGAUUUAGUGAGGUCUUCGGACUGGCCGGCGCAGCUGUCUUCGGGCGGCCGCGCUGUGUUUGGAAAGAUGCCCAAACUUGAUCAUUUAGAGGAAGUAAAAGUCGUAACAAGGUUUCCGUAGUGAACCUGCGGAAGGAU
rnacentral:rRNA from 1 species